UACAGAGGGUGCGAGCGUUAUUCGGAAUUACUGGGCGUAAAGCGCGCGUAGGCGGCUUUGCACGUCGGCUGUGAAAUCCCCAGGCUUAACCUGGGAACUGCAUUCGAGACUGCAUUGCUAGAGUAUGGGAGAGGGAAGUGGAAUUUCCGGUGUAGCGGUGAAAUGCGUAGAUAUCGGAAGGAACAUCAGUGGCGAAAGCGACUUCCUGGACCAGUACUGACGUUCAGGCACGAAAGCGUGGGGAGCAAACAGG
rnacentral:rRNA from 1 species